rnacentral:rRNA from 1 species
UGCAAGUCGAACGGCAGCAUAGGUGCUUGCACCUGAUGGCGAGUGGCGAACGGGUGAGUAAUACAUCGGAACGUGCCCAGUCGUGGGGGAUAACGUAGCGAAAGUUACGCUAAUACCGCAUACGAUCUAAGGAUGAAAGCGGGGGACCGUAAGGCCUCGCGCGAUUGGAGCGGCCGAUGUCAGAUUAGGUAGUUGGUGAGGUAAAGGCUCACCAAGCCGACGAUCUGUAGCUGGUCUGAGAGGACGACCAGCCACACUGGGACUGAGACACGGCCCAGACUCCUACGGGAGGCAGCAGUGGGGAAUUUUGGACAAUGGACGCAAGUCUGAUCCAGCCAUUCCGCGUGCAGGACGAAGGCCUUCGGGUUGUAAACUGCUUUUGUACGGAACGAAAAAGCUCUUACUAAUACUAGGAGUCCAUGACGGUACCGUAAGAAUAAGCACCGGCUAACUACGUGCCAGCAGCCGCGGUAAUACGUAGGGUGCAAGCGUUAAUCGGAAUUACUGGGCGUAAAGCGUGCGCAGGCGGUUAUAUAAGACAGAUGUGAAAUCCCCGGGCUCAACCUGGGAACUGCAUUUGUGACUGUAUAGCUAGAGUACGGCAGAGGGGGAUGGAAUUCCGCGUGUAGCAGUGAAAUGCGUAGGUAUGCGGAGGAACACCGAUGGCGAAGGCAAUCCCCUGGGCCUGUACUGACGCUCA